UCCACCGUCAAGCCCAUCUCCUCUCUAAAAAAUCUUAGAUCUAACCACCUCCCACUUAAAUCCUCCCAAAUCCCACUCUAAAUCGUUAGAUCUCUCAAUUUUUUUCCUUCAAUUUUGGGCUGAAAUCAACUGACUCUUGAAGCUUUCUUUAAACCUCAAACCCUUCCUCCGCCAACCAAGAAUCUAAGUCUCCUUCUUCUUCUUCACCUCAAAUCUGGUUCCC
rnacentral:lncRNA from 1 species